CGACCUGGGCGUGAAGAGGCCGCUCCCCAUCAGAGGGAUGUUUCUUUGCGACGAAAGGAGCACGAUGCAGAGAGGCUCAGGGAAGGGCACAGACAUCGAAGAAAUCAACAAACUCAGGAUGAGACCCCUAUCCACGAGGUGGAUACAAUAUUUGGAGGCCCAUAUGUGGGCGUUGAAAUGCGGAACACUAAAAGAAACUACGCCCGUAAGGUUAAGCGCCCCCUCUUACCAGCUACAUUGUGGACCACAGCUCACGAAGGAAUCAAGUUCCACCCAUUAUCUUCACCCAGGAGGACGCUGAAAGGAUUCACUACCCC
rnacentral:lncRNA from 1 species